GCCUGACCUGUCUCUAGCUGCCAAGAAAUACAUGUUCUCUGUGGAACUACUGCAGGUCCAUUCCAAUGGGAUAGGUGAAAUACUCUUCGUUUGGGAAUUUAACCAGUUCUGUAGAAGAAUGUAGGACAAGCAAACUUUCAUUUUGGCACCAGAAACAGCAGGGGAUCAAAACAUUCUAUCAGAGAAUGUUUCAUCAACUCAGCUCCAAUGGAGGAAUCCAGAACUGUUGAUUAGUUGUCUCAUACAGCUUAGAAGAAGAAUUAGAGAUGCAAAGAUAGAAUGAAAAUGACCAAUGCAUCAAUCCACCUAGUGUGUGAAUAAGUCAAUGGCAAAUGCUGAGGAUGGUUGGUUUUCUUUUUUCCUUUUUUUUUUUUUUUUUUCCUAGGCAUUUUCAAGACUGUCACUUUGAAUAGGGAAUUACAGUCUUUUUGUGGAAACAGUCUCAAGUAGAGAUUCUUGUCAAGAACUGAUUAAUGUUCAUUCUUUUUCUUUACAAAAGAAGGGUGGUGCCAUCACCCAUUUUCUGUAUUAAAAUACAGUACUUCAGGACAUUUUGAAAAUAGAAGAAAAUUCAGUGCAGUCGGGAUACUGCAAGAUCUUUGUAUGGCAACUUGAACAACUGCCACAAUCUUCUACCGGUUACAAACAAGAUUAUCUGCAUUUAUCCUGAAGACACGUAAGUGUUAUAAAACUGUAUUUGUUUAAAAAUUGUCAUUAACUUGGGCAGAAAGUUGGAAUUAAAUUUGCUAUGUAGAACAUUUGACUAAAAUUUUACUGCUU
rnacentral:lncRNA from 1 species